AGAGUUUGAUCCUGGCUCAGGAUGAACGCUGGCGGCGUGCUUAACACAUGCAAGUCGAACGAAGCAUUUUACCGGAACAUUUUCGGAUGGGAAGUUAAAAUGACUGAGUGGCGGACGGGUGAGUAACGCGUGGAUAACCUACCAUAUACAGGGGGACAACAGUUGGAAACGACUGCUAAUACCGCAUAAGCGCACAGUGCCGCAUGGCACGGUGUGAAAAACUCCGGUGGUAUAUGAUGGAUCCGCGUCUGAUUAGCUAGUUGGUGAGGUAACGGCCCACCAAGGCAACGAUCAGUAGCCGACCUGAGAGGGUGACCGGCCACAUUGGGACUGAGACACGGCCCAAACUCCUACGGGAGGCAGCAGUGGGGAAUAUUGCACAAUGGGCGAAAGCCUGAUGCCAGCGACGCCGCGUGAGCGAAGAAGUAUUUCGGUAUGUAAAGCUCUAUCAGCAGGGAAGAAAAUGACGGUACCUGACUAAGAAGCCCCGGCUAACUACGUGCCAGCCGCCGC
rnacentral:rRNA from 1 species